GUGAGGAAUAUUGGUCAAUGGACGGAAGUCUGAACCAGCCAUGCCGCGUGCAGGAAUAAGGUCCUAUGGAUUGUAAACUGCUUUUAUUCGGGAAUAAACCUCUUUACGUGUAGGGAGCUGAAGGUACCGAAGGAAUAAGCACCGGCUAACUCCGUGCCAGCAGCCGCGGUAAUACGGAGGGUGCAAGCGUCAUCCGGAAUCAUUGGGUUUAAAGGGUCCGCAGGCGGGCUAUCAAGUCAGAGGUGAAAUCCCACAGCUUAACUGUGGAACUGCCUUUGAAACUGAUGGUCUUGAAUUAAGUGGGCGUUGGCGGAAUAUGACAUGUAGCGGUGAAAUGCAUAGAUAUGUCAUGGAACACCGAAAGCGAAGGCAGCUAACGAUAAUUAUAUUGACGCUCAUGGACGAAAGCGUGGGUAGCGAACAGGAUUAGAAACCCUAGUAGUCC
rnacentral:rRNA from 1 species